rnacentral:lncRNA from 1 species
ACCUUAGGUUGACACCUGCCCCCAACCCUCCACUUCUCUCUCUCUCUCUCACACACACACACACACACACACACACACAUCUAUAAACAUAUAUGAAUCCUUAAUAUUUUUGCCACGUGGCAAUUGUUCCUUCACCCUCACUAGCCUCUCUUUUCAACCGUUCCUCUUCUUUGAUUCGAACCAAACUGUUCUUUGAACCGCUCAUUCCUGUUCUCUGAUCCGAUCCACCUCCCAACAUCUGAACCAAACUGCUUUUGAACCAACCUAUCGCUUUUGAACUGAACCAUCUUUCUAAGCCGUCCUCCUAACAUCUGAACCGAACCGCUUCCUAUCUAUGAACCACCAAAUCACACCGACCGCCUCUCUUUCUCUCUCCUAUUCAGUUAUUGCACGACGGAGCGUUUCCGCUCCCCUCUCCUCCGCGUCGUUCCUUCUUCCUCCUUUAUUGCAGCGUUUUCUCUUCCCUCUCUGUGGUAUCGCCGUUUCGAUU